GGGCCCGCACAAGCGGUGGAGCAUGUGGUUUAAUUCGAAGCAACGCGAAGAACCUUACCAGGGCUUGACAUCCCCUGACCGCUAUGGAAACAUAGCUUCUCUUCGGAGCAGGGAGACAGGUGGUGCAUGGUUGUCGUCAGCUCGUGUCGUGAGAUGUUGGGUUAAGUCCCGCAACGAGCGCAACCCUUGUCAUUAGUUGCCAGCAUUAAGUUGGGCACUCUAAUGAGACUGCCGGUGACAAACCGGAGGAAGGUGGGG
rnacentral:rRNA from 1 species